rnacentral:lncRNA from 1 species
CAGGCAAUCCUCCCCAGAAAUGCCUCCUCAGAGCAGCUGAGUUGGAGAGAGUUAAUCCAUGGCCACUUUCUUGAUAAGAAGCCAACAUACGAUCCUGUGAGGUGAUUUGUUAGCAACAUCACAUUUUUGUUCUGUUAAAAUUUACUUUACCCUUUUAAAAUGGAAGUAUAUCUGUAAGACGGACAAGCAUGGAACACAGCUUUCUCAUUAUCUCUAGUUCUGCGUUCCAAUAAGAUUCUGGGGAAAAGCUGUAUUCUACCUGGAAUCUCUCAGGUUUCUUUCUAGGCUAGAUAGAGGAGUGCUGGCUAUUUUGAGGAGAGGGCUUUCUUUUUCUUUUUUUUUAACUGGCACAAAAAUCACAUCCUCUUUCUUAUGCAAUGGGACAAAUAUGAGUAUGUCAAAGAUCACAUCUUCUCUGUGAUCUGAAGUUGUCCUCCUGAAAAUAAGGAAUAUGGUAGGGGAAAAAAGUCUAUGUAAGCCCCAGACCUCAGUUUCAUGACCUCGUCAUCCCUAAGUAUUGCUGGGACUCCACUUCAGUCCCUCACUCCCACGACCAGAUUCUGUCCUGGUGACCACGGAGGAAGGAUGCUCCAGGGACAGGAUCUAAGCACAGCCUCCUCUCCUGACAAGCCACCUGGUCCAUUACUGCCCACAGCCUCAAGCUUCUCCUUCAUCAGGAUCUCAGAUAAGACUUAAGUCCAAGAUCACACAGUCAAUAAGUGGUGGAGAUAAAACUUGAACCCCAUCAGGUCAAAAGAAGCAAACUCGUGUCUAACGUAGCAAGCAGACGCUUGUCAUAAAAAGAUCAAGACGCCCUGUUGAAAACGUUAGAGCCGCUCCCAGGGACUGCGCCCCCUGUGGGGACAUUGAGCAUUGCACGUUAGCAGAAAGCAGCUGGAGGCUCCACUCUGGGCGGGGUACUUGCCAGUGUAGACAUAGACCUCCCACUUUAAGCAUAAACCUGAAGUUUCUUUAUUGGUUUGAAAUACACUGGGCCUUGACUGGUCAAAGAGGUGAGCAGAUAUAUACGAGGCCGUGUUAAACUUUCAUCAGCAGCAUGAUUUCUACCAUGUGCAUGCAUUCACAAAGUUCUACUUUAAAGAUCUUAAAUUCCGCAGUUUCUUUACCUGGGCUGGAUGUGGCCUUUGUAGAUGGUCCUUUUCUUUCUGCCUUGGCUUGCAGCGCCCCCACCUCUAAACGUUUCCCCAGAACUGGAGAGUGAAAAGUGCCUUUGUAAGGUGCUCAGGUGUGAGAAUGGCUGCCCCAGGUAUGUAUUUUGACAGCAGAGAAAGCUUGCUGUGGGUCAGUCCCCGCAUCCCACGAGCCCCGUCCCCUGGGCCCUGGAUGUCUGCGGCCCGCAGGGUCCUCAGACUGCAGUGUCCUCAAACCUCACUGUCCUCAGACCGCAGUCCACAGGGUCCUCAGGCCCCACUGUCCUCAGGCCUCAGUGUCCUCAGGCCACAGGGUCCUCAGACUCAGGCCUUGCCCACCCAGCUCACAAGGCUAGUUCCCUCCAGGAGAGGAGGCCCCUCUGGAUGAGAUUUGGGAAAUGUCAAAUGAACCUCAGGCUCUGGGGCUUUGUCUCUGCUGUAGUCAUUUCAGUCAAAGAGCACACUCGUCGCCCAAUUUAUUUUCAAUAUUACAACCUUACCGACUGCCAUUUUGAUAAAAGAUUUCAGCUGAAUCAACCUUUACAGGUAAUAACUUCACCAGAUAAAGUUGACUCAUUUUUUGUAUAAAGUUCAAUUGUCAAAUUCCAUUGCAGCAUUGAGAUUUUCAAAUAGACAUUUUUUAAUGGUCUCCUGGUUGUUUUUCCUCUUAUCUUUUGUAAAAUUAUCUUGCAAGGAAUUGGAAAGACCCGAGGAAUGACUGUAGGCAAAGCCAGUUUUGCUGUGUGGAAGGGUUCAACAGUGGCAGGGGUCUGGCUGCCCCAUGUCCCAGGCCUGUCACUAAUCCUUGGGCUUCUGGGUUGAAUGACACACAGGGGGAAUGUGUUACUUCGCACCAUGGAUAACCAACAUCACUUGGAAGUCAGGUAGUAGAAACAUACCUGUUUCUAAUGGUGUUUGUUACCAUAACUGUGUAAAGAGGGAAACCCCAUAGUCUCAACCAAGGUGGGCUUAUGCAAACCCAAUAUCCUGAAA